rnacentral:rRNA from 1 species
UACGUAGGGAGCGAGCGUUGUCCGGAUUUAUUGGGCGUAAAGAGCUCGUAGGCGGUUAUGUAAGUCAUGUGUGAAAUCUCUGGGCUUAACCCAGAGGGGCCAUGUGAUACUGCAUUGACUUGAGUCUGGUAGAGGAGUUUGGAACUCCCGGUGUAGCGGUGAAAUGCGCAGAUAUCGGGAAGAACACCAGUGGCGAAGGCGGAACUCUGGGCCAGAACUGACGCUGAGGAGCGAAAGCGUGGGUAGCAAACAGG